rnacentral:ncRNA from 1 species
CUCUGUAAAGGGCAAACCUGGCCGAAAGGCGGGGACGCAAAGCCACCGGUCUAAAGGAGCAAUCCCAUGACAGCGGAGCCGCCGGA